GACGGAGGAUGCAAGUGUUAUCCGGAAUCACUGGGCGUAAAGCGUCUGUAGGUGGUUCGAAAAGUCCACUGUUAAAAAUUGAGGCUUAACUUCAAAGAUGCCGUGGAAACUUUCAAACUAGAGUAUGGUAGGGGUAGAGGGAAUUUCCAGUGGAGCGGUGAAAUGCGUAGAUAUUGGAAAGACCACCGAUGGCGAAGGCACUCUACUGGGCCACUACUGACACUGAGGAGCGAAAGUGUGGGGAGCGAACAGG
rnacentral:rRNA from 1 species